GCCCGGCUGGCACAAUUGGUUAGCGCGUGAGACUUUUAAUUAUCCAUGGAUUACCUAGAGAUCUCAAGGUUCAGAGUUCGAGCCUCUGGUUGGGCG
rnacentral:tRNA from 1 species